rnacentral:rRNA from 1 species
UACAGAGGGUGCAAGCGUUAAUCGGAAUUACUGGGCGUAAAGCGUGCGCAGACGGUUGCGUAAGUCAGAUGUGAAAGCCCCGGGCUCAACCUGGGAAUUGCAUUUGAGACUGCGUAGCUAGGGUGCGGAAGAGGGAAGCGGAAUUUCCGGUGUAGCGGUGGAAUGCGUAGAGAUCCGGAAGAACACCGGUGGCGAAGGCGGCCUGCUGGGACAGUGCUGACGCUGAGGCGCGACAGCGUGGGGAGCAAACAGG